CGAACGCUGGCGGGUGCUUACAAUGCUGUCAACGAUGAAGCCGGAGCUUGCUCCGGUGGAUUAGUGGCGAACGGGUGAGUAACACGUGAGAAAUCUGCCCCUGACUCUGGGAUAACUGCGGGAAACUGUAGCUAAUACCGGAUACUUUCCCUGGUGGGCAUCCACUAGGGAAGAAAGAAUUUCGGUCAGGGAGGAUCUCGCGGCCUAUCAGCUUGUUGGUGAGGUAACGGCUCACCAAUGCGACGACGGGUAACCGGCCUGAGAGGGUGACCGGUCACACUGGGACUGAGACACGGUCCAGACUCCUACGGGAGGCAGCAGUGGGAAU
rnacentral:rRNA from 1 species